rnacentral:rRNA from 1 species
UUGAUUAAAUUUUAUUUAUUUAUUGUAUUUUUUUUUUAAAAAAAAGUAUUAAAAAAAAUUAUAAAGGUAUAUGUUUAAGUAUUUUAUAAAGAAAAAAUAAUUUUAAUUAUAGGGUAAUAGUAUUGUAGAAGAAAAUUGAAAUAAGUUGAAAAAUUUUUGUUUUAAAAGAAAAUUUAAUUUAUUGUACCUUGGGUAUCAGGGUUUAUUAAAUAAAAUUUAAUUAUAUUAAUUUUCUCGAUUUUAAAAGAGUUAAUAUAUUAUAAAAGUUAAUGUAAUAAAAUUAUUUUUAAUAAUAUAUUAGAAAUGAAAUGUUAUUCGUUUUUAAAGGUAUCUAGUUCUUUAAGAAAUAAAUUUAAUUUAGAAAUUUUAGAUUAUUUAAUUUAAUAAAUUAAUUAAAUAAUUUUUUAAUUUUAAUAUUUUAUGGGAUAAGCUAUAAAAUAAAUUGUUAAAAAUUAAUAGAUACAUUAAUAAAUAUAGAUUUAGAAAUAAUCAUUAUUAAUAAGUUUGUUAUAAUUUAUUUUAUAAAUAAAAUUAUUUAUUUUAAUUUUAAAUUUUUAUUAAAGUAUUUAUUUUAAUAAAAAAAAUAAAAAAAUAAUGAUAAAAUUAGUAUAUAUUUAAAUAUAUAUAUAUAUAUAUAUAUAUAUUGUAUAAUUAAAUAUAAAUGAAAAGUUUUUAUAAAGAACUCGGCAAAUUUAAUGUUCGCCUGUUUAACAAAAACAUGUCUUUUUGAUUUUUUUUAAAAGUCUAGCCUGCCCACUGAAUUUUUUUUAAAUGGCCGCAGUAUACUGACUGUGCAAAGGUAGCAUAAUCAUUAGUCUUUUAAUUGAAGGCUUGUAUGAAUGGUUGGACGAGAUAUUAACUGUUUCAUUAAAAUUUAUUAUAAAAUUUUAUUUUUUAGUCAAAAAGCUAAAAUAAAUUUAAAAGACGAGAAGACCCUAUAAAUCUUUAUAUUUAUUUUAUUAUAAUUUUUUAGAAUUUUUUUAUUGUAAUAUAAAUGAAAUAUUUUAUUGGGGUGAUAUUAAAAUUUAAUAAACUUUUAAUUUUUAAAUUCAUUAAUUAAUGAUUGAUUGAUCCGUUUUUAACGAUUAAAAAAUUAAGUUACUUUAGGGAUAACAGCGUAAUUUUUUUGGAGAGUUCAUAUCGAUAAAAAAGAUUGCGACCUCGAUGUUGGAUUAAGAUAUAGUUUUAGGUGUAGUAGCUUAAAUUUUAAGUCUGUUCGACUUUUAAAUUCUUACAUGAUCUGAGUUCAAACCGGCGUAAGCCAGGUUGGUUUCUAUCUUUAAAAAGUUUAAAUAUUUCAGUACGAAAGGACCUAAUAUUUGAUAAAUUAUUAUUUUUAUAAUGAAUAUAAUUAAUAUAAAU